CUUCUCAUUCUGUCAUCCGUAUUUUCUACAAUCCAGAAAUUAGAUCUAAGAACUUGAGUUUUUUUGAAGCAAGUCACAAAUCCUGCCCACACUCAAGGAGAGAGAAUUACAUAAGGUCAUGAACACCCAGAAGCAAGGAUCAUGGGGGUCACCUUAGAAUCUUCCCCGACAAGAAGCAGCACAAAAUCAAAUUUACCCAGAAUGUUUCCUGCAGGUAAAUUUUCCCUCUUGAAAUGAUUCUCCAUAACCUGGAUGCAAGUGGACCACCCCUCACUCAAUAACUACUUAUUAAACGGCCACUCUCUGCUAGGCGUUGGCUUCCUUAAGGAAAAGAAACUGAGAUUCAGAUCAUAUGAUCAGUACCACCAAGCUCAUGGACUUACCAUGAACCAGCUGGAUGAUUCUUUCAAUGUCGAACUGAUCAGAACAUGGUCACAUCUAGAGAUGGAGCCUUCAGAAUCCCAUAGGAGUUCUCUGCCAUUCUUCUUCGGAUCUCUAUUUUUAGCCCGGUAAAAUU